AGAUUUGAGGACAAUAAGGUUAUAACAUCUGUCACUCCAUUGAUUGACAGGGUUGAUUUGUCUGAUCUGGCUGGUUAGGUGGAUAUCCUCUUCCUCCCUUACUGGUCCAUUGUAUCCCUCCUAGAGCUGCAUGCUCAGUCAAAAAGGAUGACCUUCCUUGAAUAGAGGAGGACCAGUCUUGGGUCAUGGUAUAUGAGUAGCUGUGCUCCUCUGCUAGAACCUCCAAACAAGCUCUCAAAGUCACUUUGCAUAUGGGGCAGAGGAACAUACCCAAGUAAGGAAUGUGAUGCCUU
ensembl:misc_RNA Gm23791 predicted gene, 23791